GGGAAGGUAGCUCAGUGGUAGAGCGCUUGCCUAGCAUGCAUGAAGCCCUGGGUUCCAUUCCUCAGCACCA
rnacentral:tRNA from 1 species